ACCCUAUAAACUCAGACAGUAAAGUGUCUGCCUGUAAUGCGGGAGACCCGGGUUCGAUUCCUGGGUUGGGAA
rnacentral:tRNA from 1 species